UAGACAGCUAGGAUGUUGGCUUGGAAGCAGCCAUUCAUUUAAAGAGUGCGUAACAGCUCACUAGUCGAGCGAUCGAGCAUGGAUAAUAAUCGGGCAUAAAUAUACCACCGAAGCUAUGAGAUGUAUUCAAUACAUCGGUAGGGGAGCAUUCCAACGAAGUAGAAUCUGUAGCGUGAGCUAUGGUGGAUUUUUUGGAAAAGCAAAUGUAGGCAUAAGUAACGAUAAAGGAGGUGAGAAACCUCCUCGCCGAUAGACUAAGGAUUCCUGAUCAACGCUAAUCGGAUCAGGGUAAGUCGGGACCUAAGGCGUACCCGAAGGGGGAAGUCGAUGGACAACAGGUUAAUAUUCCUGUACCAACUAUACAAUAAAAGUGACGGAGAAACGAUUCUGCUAGGUGCAGACGGAAUAGCACGUUGAGCCUAGGCUACGGCCGAAGCGAAGCAGAUACCUUUCUUCCAAGAAAAGCGAGUAUAGUUGCCCGUACCGUAAACCGACACAGGUAGUCAAGGAGAGCAUCCUGAGGCGCUCGAGUGAUUCGCGGCUAAGGAACUAGGCAAAAUUACCCCGUAACUUUGGGAUAAGGGGAACCUAAAUCAAAUUAGGUCGCAGAGAAAUGAUCCAGGCGACUGUUUAUCAAAAACACAGGGCUCUGCUAAAUCGAAAGAUGACGUAUAGGGCAAGCCCCAGUAAACGGCGGCCGUAACUAUAACGGUCCUAAGGUAGCGAAAUUCCUUGUCGGGUAAGUUCCGACCUGCACGAAUGGUGUAACGAUCUGGAUACUGUCUCGGCCGCGAGCUCGGUGAAAUUGAAGUAACGGUGAAGAUGCCGUUUACCCGCAACGGGACGGAAAGACCCCGUGAACCUUUACUGCAACUUCGCAUUGACUCUGUGUAAGUAAUGUGUAGGAUAGGUCGGAGACGAUGAUCUUGCUUCGCUAGGAGUAAGUUAGUCAUCCUUGAAAUACGACCCUUUGCUUACUUGGAGCCUAACUGUAUUAAUAUAGGACAUUGCGUGGUGGGUAGUUUGACUGGGGUGGUCGCCUCCAAAAGCGUAACGGAGGCUUUCAAAGGUACCCUCAUGGCGAUUGGUAACCGCCAGAAGAGUGUAAUGAUAUAAGGGUGCUUGACUGUGAGACCGACGGGUCGAUCAGGUAGGAAACUAGGACAUAGUGAUCCGGUGGUUCCGUAUGGAAGGGCCAUCGCUCAAAGGAUAAAAGGUACUCCGGGGAUAACAGGCUGAUCGCUCCCAAGAGCUCAUAUCGAC
rnacentral:rRNA from 1 species